ACGGAUGAGUAAUGUCUGGGGAUCUGCCCGAUAGAGGGGGAUAACCACUGGAAACGGUGGCUAAUACCGCAUAACGUCGCAAGACCAAAGAGGGGGACCUUCGGGCCUCUCACUAUCGGAUGAACCCAGAUGGGAUUAGCUAGUAGGCGGGGUAAUGGCCCACCUAGGCGACGAUCCCUAGCUGGUCUGAGAGGAUGACCAGCCACACUGGAACUGAGACACGGUCCAGACUCCUACGGGAGGCAGCAGUGGGGAAUAUUGCACAAUGGGCGCAAGCCUGAUGCAGCCAUGCCGCGUGUAUGAAGAAGGCCUUCGGGUUGUAAAGUACUUUCAGCGGGGAGGAAGGCGAUGUGGUUAAUAACCGCAUCGAUUGACGUUACCCGCAGAAGAAGCACCGGCUAACUCCGUGCCAGCGGCCGCGGUAAUACGGAGGGUGCAAGCGUUAAUCGGAAUUACUGGGCGUAAAGCGCACGCAGGCGGUCUGUUAAGUCAGAUGUGAAAUCCCCGGGCUUAACCUGGGAACUGCAUUUGAAACUGGCAGGCUUGAGUCUUGUAGAGGGGGGUAGAAUUCCAGGUGUAGCG
rnacentral:rRNA from 1 species